rnacentral:misc_RNA from 1 species
AUUAGACUAAAUAAACAUAAUUAAAUAAUAUGUAAAUACAAAUAAUCCAAUAUUGAUGGGAUUUAAACCUAAAACCUCUUAAUUUCAAAGCAUAAUAUUUUGAUUAGUUUUACCAUUAAAUUAAAACUUCAUUAACUUUUGCAAGUGAUAUAAAUUCGAGUUGAAUAAACAUUUAAAUGGAUGAUGGUCAUUUUGACUUGAACACAAUCGAAUAAAAAAUUAUCAUCUCUAUCAUUGAUGUAUACAACUUUAGAAAUUAUAUCAUACAAUAUAAUCAUUAUUUUGAUAUAGAAUGACAAGUAAAUUAAUAA